UACAUCGGUGACAGGUGGUGCAUGGUUGUCGUCAGCUCGUGUCGUGAGAUGUUGGGUUAAGUCCCGCAACGAGCGCAACCCCUAUUGUUAGUUGCCAUCAUUCAGUUGGGCACUCUAGCGAGACUGCCGGUAAUAACCGGAGGAAGUGGGAUGACGUCAAAUCAUCAUGCCCCUUAUGUUCUGGGCUACACACGUGCUACAAUGGCCGGUACAGACGGAGGCGAAGCCGCGAGGCGGAGCAAAUCCGAAAAAGCCGGUCUCAGUUCGGAUUGCAGGCUGCAAUUCGCCUGCAUGAAGUCGGAAUCGCUAGUAAUCGCAGGUCAGCAUACUGCGGUGAAUACGUUCCCGGGCCUU
rnacentral:rRNA from 1 species